CGCCUGUUUAUCAAAAACAUGGCUCUCUGUAUAUUGAAGAUAGAGAGUCGGACCUGCCCGGUGAAUUUUUUAACGGCCGCGGUACUCUGACCGUGCAAAGGUAGCAUAAUCAUUUGCCUUAUAAUUGAAGGCUAGAAUGAAUGGUUUGACAAGAAUACAACUGUCUCUUUACAAUUACAUAAAAUUUUAUCUGCAGUUGAAGAAGCCUGCAUUUGAAUAAAAGACAAGAAGACCCUAUCGAGCUUAAAAAAAACUGGUGGAAUAACAAACUUAAUCCUAACUUAUAAAUAAAUAAAUAGUCAACUACUGGAAAUUUUGGUUGGGGCGACCGGGGAACAAAAAAAACUUCCUUUAUAAAAAUUUAGAUGCCCAAAUAUUGAUCCAGCAUUAUAUGAUUAAAGAAAUUAGUUACCGUCGGGGUAACAGCAUUAUCUUUUUUAAGAGUUCUUAUCGAAAAUUGUUUGUGACCUCGAUGUUGGACCAGAAUAUCCUAAAGAUGCAGCC
rnacentral:rRNA from 1 species